CGGCCUUGACAUACUAAGAACUUUCCAGAGAUGGAUUGGUGCCUUCGGGAACUUAGAUACAGGUGCUGCAUGGCUGUCGUCAGCUCGUGUCGUGAGAUGUUGGGUUAAGUCCCGNAACGAGCGCAACCCUUUUCCUUAUUUGCCAGCGGGUCAUGCCGGGAACUUUAAGGAUACUGCCAGUGACAAACUGGAGGAAGGCGGGGACGACGUCAAGUCAUCAUGGCCCUUACGGCCAGGGCUACACACGUGCUACAAUGGUCGGUACAAAGGGUUGCUACCUCGCGAGAGGAUGCUAAUCUCAAAAAGCCGAUCGUAGUCCGGAUCGCAGUCUGCAACUCGACUGCGUGAAGUCGGAAUCGCUAGUAAUCGCGGAUCAGAAUGCCGCGGUGAAUACGUUCCCGGGCCUUGUACACACCGCCCGUCACACCAUGGGAGUUUGUUGCACCAGAAGUAGGUAGUCUAACCGCAAGGAGGACGCUUACCACGGUGUGGCCGAUGACUGGGGUGAAGUCGUAACAAGGUAGGCGUAGAUGA
rnacentral:rRNA from 1 species